rnacentral:rRNA from 1 species
AUUGAACGCUGGCGGCAGGCCUAACACAUGCAAGUCGAACGAGUGGCGGACGGGUGAGUAAUGUCUGGGAAACUGCCUGAUGGAGGGGGAUAACUACUGGAAACGGUAGCUAAUACCGCAUACCAUCAGAUGUGCCCAGAUGGGAUUAGCUUGUUGGUGGGGUAACGGCUCACCAAGGCGACGAUCCCUAGCUGGGCUGAGAUGAUGACCAGCCAACCUUGAAAUUGGACACGGUCCCUACUCCUCCGGGAGGCAGCAGUGGGGAAUGUUGCACAAUGGGCGCAAGCCUGAUGCAGCCAUGCCGCGUGUAUGAAGAAGGCCUUCGGGUUGUAAAGUACUUUCAGCGGGGAGGCGUUACUCGCAGAAGAAGCACCGGCUAACUCCGUGCCAGCAGCCGCGGUAAUUC